AUUGAACGCUGGCGGCAGGCUUAACACAUGCAAGUCGAGCGAGCGGCGGACGGGUGAGUAAUGUCUGGGAAACUGCCUGAUGGAGGGGGAUAACUACUGGAAACGGUAGCUAAUACCGCAUACCAUCAGAGGUGCCCAGAGGUGAUUAGCUAGUAGGGUGGGUAAUGGCUCACCUAGGCGACGAUCCCUAGCUGGUCUGAGAGGAUGACCAGCCACACUGUAACUGAGACACGGUCCAGACUCCUAAGGGAGGCAGCAGGGGGGAAUAUUGCACAAUGGGCGCAAGCCUGAUGCAGCCAUGCCGCGUGUGUGAAGAAGGCCUUCGGGUUGUAAAGCACUUUCAGCGAGGAGGCGUUACUCGCAGAAGAAGCACCGGCUAACUCCGUGCCAGCAGCCGCGGUAAUUC
rnacentral:rRNA from 1 species